GGCAUGGUGGCUCAGUGGUUCGAGCGCCCGCCUCAUGAACGGGAGGUCGUGGGUUCGAACCCUGGCCGAGUCA
rnacentral:tRNA from 1 species